GUUAACAUUACUGAGUUAAUAUUCCAUUGUAUAUAUGGACCACAUCUUCCUCAGUGAUGUUUUCUUUUGCACCUUUUCAUUUGUGUGACCUCUUCGCUUUGCAUCCAGCCAAGCUCCCUUGCCCCUCCA